UACAGAGGGGGCAAGCGUUAUUCGGAAUUAUUGGGCGUAAAGGGCGCGUAGGCGGCCUGGCAAGUGGAAGGUGAAAUCCCUCGGCUUAACCGAGGAACUGCCCUCCAAACUGCUUCGCUUGAGACCGGGAGAGGUGAGUGGAAUUCCCAGUGUAGCGGUGAAAUGCGUAGAUAUUGGGAGGAACACCAGUGGCGAAGGCGGCUCACUGGACCGGUACUGACGCUGAUGCGCGAAAGCGUGGGGAGCAAACGGG
rnacentral:rRNA from 1 species